rnacentral:rRNA from 1 species
UACAGAGGGUGCGAGCGUUGUUCGGAAUUACUGGGCGUAAAGCGCGCGCAGGCGGCUCUUUAAGUCUGACGGUGAAAUGCCGGGGCUCAACCCCGAGCGUGCCGGAGAUACUGGAGGGCUGGAGACGAGUAGAGGCAAGCGGAAUUCCGGGUGUAGCGGUGGAAUGCGUAGAGAUCAGGAAGAACACCGGUGGCGAAAGCGCUCUGCUGGACCUUAACUGACACUGAGGGACGAAAGCUAGGGGAGCGAAUGGG